GUCUCGAAAUUUCGACGAGUAGGAGGGCGCGGGGGUGAGCGUAGAAGUUUGAACGUGAGUUCAAAUGGAGCCGCCUUCGGUGCAGAUCUUGGUAGUAGUAGCAAACACUCCUUUGAGAAGCACGUUAACUCGGAUGAGGGCCGUGCGGAGAAGGGUUCCUCGUCAACUGCAGUUGAACGAGGGUUAGUCGAUCCUAAGCCCAAGGCUCGAGCUUGUUAUCAUACUACUCGACCAAAACACACCAAUCAUCUUCUUCAUUUAGACAAAUAUAAUUUCUCUAUAUAUAAAAGUUGAUCGAAUGAUCGGGCGAAAGGGAAUUCGGACAAAAUUCCGAAACCCGGCGAGGGUAUAACACGUCUAGCCUACGGGCAAACGCGCUAUUAACGCAAUUCCCUAGGCUCCCGGUGACGGGAGAUAGAGCCAAAGACGUUGACGACAGCCCGGGGAAGAGCUAGCUCUUUUCUUCAUAAGGCGCCGCGGACCCUGGAAUCAAUUUGAUGGGAGAAAGGGUAUAGACAUACGUGGAUGUCCGCCGAAGAGUAUCGCAUUUGUUGCGGUAUCUCGCGCGUUGUCGUCGACCCGUGAAAACUUUGGCCGAGGGAUUGCUAAUCUUUUUUAUCGGAGAUUUAGCGACAUACCUUCUCGUCGUUCCUAUUGGUCGUACCUAUAUCCGCAUCCGGUCUCCGAGGUGCUUAGUCUCUUGUCGAUAGUCUAAUGUAGAUAAGGGAAGUCGGCAAACUCGAUCCGUAACUUCGGGAGAAGGAUUGGCUCUUAAGGGCGGGCUAGUCGGGCCUUCGAUCGGAAGCGGUACAAAGAGUUAUGGGUUUCGUCGUCGUCGAGUGGAAUUAGCUAGCGUUUGCGGUGUGGUUUAUCGAGGUCGUAUGCGUUUGACGUUUCGCUAUUGUUUUUGUCGGACUCGAAAUCGGCAUGAAUGAUUUGCGAUUCGUUAUUGAGGACGUAUUCCGAGAUAUCUAUAUCGUCCGUUACUUUUCCUUCUCUUCUUCACGACCCGCUCCGUCGUAUCCGCGGACGUUCGUUGGCUAGUGGUGCUCCGCGGAAGAGAUUCGUUUCGGUACUUUCCUAGAGUAAGAGASAUAUAAUUAUAUAUUGGUUCGUUCCUUAUACAAAUUUUUCUCUCUCUCCUCUUGAUCGUGCUACGGAUCCGUAUAAACGGAUGUCAUCUCGGCUGGCCAUUAGCGUCCGAUUAAGAACUGGCACGGACUAGGGGAAUCCGACUGUCUAAUUAAAACAAAGCAUCGCGAUGGCCGCGAGUCGGUGUUGACGCGAUGUGAUUUCUGCCCAGUGCUCUGAAUGUCAAAGUGAAGAAAUUCAACCAAGCGCGGGUAAACGGCGGGAGUAACUAUGACUCUCUUAAGGUAGCCAAAUGCCUCGUCAUCUAAUUAGUGAUCGCGCAUGAAUGGAUUAACCAGAUUCCCACUGUCCCUAUCUACUGUCU
rnacentral:rRNA from 1 species